rnacentral:rRNA from 1 species
AAGCGCACGCGACCAGACCUGCGCCGGUUGAUCACCCAGCGUUCUCGCUGGUGCACUCUGCCGGCCCAGGCCAGCAUCGGUUCGCCGCGGGGGAUAAAGGCACUGGGAACGUGGCUCUUCGGAGUGUUAUAGCCCUAUGCGUAAUGCCCCGUGGCGGACCGAGGAUCCGCGCUUCGGCAAGGAUGCUGGCGUAAUGGUCGUCUGCGA